rnacentral:misc_RNA from 1 species
GAUGAAGAACGCAGCGAAAUGCGAUAAGUAAUGUGAAUUGCAGAACUCAGUGAAUCAUCGAAUCUUUGAACGCACAUUGCGCCCCUUGGUAUUCCGGGGGGCAUGCCUGUUCGAGCGUCAUUUCAACCCUCAAGCUUCUGCUUGGUCUUGGGCCGUGCCGGCAACGGCUGGCCUUAAAACUAGUGGCGGUGCCAUCGAGCUCUACGCGUAGUAAUUCUAUCUCGCGUCUGGGCUUCGGUGGACGCUGGCCAGCAACCCCCAAUUUUCUAUGGUUGACCUCGGAUCAGGUAGGGAUACCCGCUGAACUUAAGCAUAUCAAUAAGCGGAAGA